rnacentral:rRNA from 1 species
UGAUCCUGGCUCAGGAAUGAACGCUAGCGGGAGGCUUAACACAUGCAAGUCGAGGGGGAGCACGAGGUAGCAAUACUUUGGUGGCGACCGGCGUACGGGUGAGUAACGCGUAUGCAACCUACCCUGUACUGGGGGAUAGCCCGGAGAAAUUCGGAUUAAUACCCCAUAAAGAUAUUUGGAGGCAUCUUCAGAUAUUUAAAGUUUCGACGGUACGGGAUGGGCAUGCGUAACAUUAGCUUGUUGGUAAGGUAACGGCUUACCAAGGCUACGAUGUUUAGGGGUCCUGAGAGGGUGAUCCCCCACACUGGUACUGAGACACGGACCAGACUCCUACGGGAGGCAGCAGUGAGGAAUAUUGGUCAAUGGGCGCAAGCCUGAACCAGCCAUCCCGCGUGCAGGAAGACGGCGCUACGCGUUGUAAACUGCUUUUCCAGGGGAAGAAAACCCACGACGUGUCGUGGCUUGCCGGUACCCUGGGAAUAAGCAUCGGCUAACUCCGUGCCAGCAGCCGCGGUAAUACGGAGGAUGCGAGCGUUAUCCGGAUUUAUUGGGUUUAAAGGGUGCGUAGGCGGAUUAAUAAGUCAGUGGUGAAAACCUUCAGCUUAACUGGAGACUUGCCAUUGAUACUGUUAGUCUUGAGUACGGUCAAGGUAGGCGGAAUGUGUAAUGUAGCGGUGAAAUGCUUAGAUAUUACACAGAACACCGAUUGCGAAGGCAGCUUACUGGACCAUUACUGACGCUGAGGCACGAAAGCGUGGGUAGCGAACAGGAUUAGAUACCCUGGUAGUCCACGCCGUAAACGAUGAUCACUCGCUGUU